rnacentral:tRNA from 1 species
CACCUCCUUUCUAAGGAAUAAUUACGGAACCUGUACAUUUAUUGAAUACUUUGUUUAGUUUCCAGAGAUUUACUCUCUGUUAAAGAAUGGCUUAUGGGCCUAUAGCUCAGCUGGUUUAGAGCGCACGCCUGAUAAGCGUGAGGUCGAUGGUUCGAGUCCAUUUAGGCCCAUUCUUUUAUGAAAAUUUCAUAAUUUUCUUAUGGGGCCUUAGCUCAGCUGGGAGAGCGCCUGCUUUGCACGCAGGAGGUCAGCGGUUCGAUCCCGCUAGGCUCCAUUGAUAACGAAAGUUAUCAAAUGAUUUUGUUCUUUGAAAACUAGAUAUUGAUUUAUUUCUUAAAAAUAAACCGAGAACACCGCGUUUUAAAGAGUUUAAAACAAGAAUUAUAGUUCUUAAUCGCUAAACUCAUAACCUAUUAUCGUUAGAUAAUAUUAGGUUAAGUUAUUAAGGGCGUAGGGUGGAUGCCUUG